UUUUUUUCAGCCAAGAAGAUUGUUACAGUGAAAUUCCCAGAGAUGCUUUUCCAUCUAAUCAAAAACGUAAUAAGAAGCAGACCUUUCUCCAGAAGACCCCUCAAGAAAAUACAUCAGAUCUGCAAUAUGUCCAGUUGAAUGUGAAGAAAAAUGCACACAGAAAGCCACAGACACCUGAGGAAAAAGUGUAUUAUUCAUCAGUUAAUACCCGAGCUUUGAAUCAUCAAAUUUAAGUUGUCUAAACUGUUUUUCAUUAUUAGCAGACUCAUGUGGUCAUUAUUUUCAAAUCUUACCAAAUCUGCCAUAGAAUGCUCUUUAUGUCAGCACUGACCUCUUAUCUCUAUAUCAUUCAUUUUACAUUUUUGAGCACUGAUUGGAUGGUAGUUUCAUUUGCUUUUGAGACCAACAUUAUUUUAGUACUUAAAAAUAAGGUAUUUCCUAAAAUUUGGAUUAACGUUAUCAUUGGCAAAAUGGCUGUUAAAAAUCACACUUUUGUUAAAUACUUUCCAGUAAGCACAUACCUCAAAUAUCAGAGUAGGUAA